CAACACCAGGACCGAUGCUGCUUCAAAACUUGCUAGCCUCCAACUCCUAACCCCAGCCAACAUUGCCAGUGGCCUGGAAUGAUGAUAUCUCCUCAAAAUCUGGAGGACGCCACGUUGGCUAUCCUUGUGCUAAGGUAUGGGCCCUGUUGUUUCUCCUGAAACAUGGCCUUGUCUACUACAGCAUACCAGGAUCUCUUAACUGUGGACAGAGUUCUUCAGGGCUAUUCUUGGCUGAUUUUAAUGUCUAGCUGGGAAAUGGGCUAGAUAAGAUGGGGAAAAUCUCCGUCUUCUUUUAAAUGAAACGAAGGAGGGCCGUCACCAGCAACAUAAAUAGAUGGCGGUGCAGGGAGUGGGGGGAGGGGGUGGAUCUGGGAAAAGCAGCCGAAUAAUGAGCCCUCUUCAAAGCAGGUUAAAGGCAACUUCAGAGAGGGGAAAACAAAGUGUCUAAUCUAAGUCGCACCAGACCCUAAACAACCCGUGCCUCUCUGCUCCUUUGUUCUUAGAAAUUUCCCAUGUAACACUCUGAGGAGGGAGUGGGGGUGUCAGAGAAACGCUGCUCACUAUUUUUGUAUACACAGAAGCUGCGGAGUUCACCCCUGAGAAAGAGACAUUUGGGGGAACGAAAUGACCCCUGUAACAGGAUAGGCGAGAUUCCACCCUACCCCCCACUCUGCAAAAGUGGCGCAUUCAUUUUGCCAGAUGACAAGAGAAAGCCUGAGAGGAACUGGUCCAGGAACUGGGUUGGGAGUGAAUGCUAGCAAUUCUGGAGGACCAAAGGUGAGCCAAAGGUACAGAUGCUUUUGAGGAGAGCCACCAACAGGCUCAGCAUUCUAAUGACGCAACAUAAAAGGCAAGCCCAGCCCAGCCACCCAGCAGAAGAGUAGAUGUGUUUUCUAUUUAUCAUUCCUGUUAUACAAAAAUCUCCAAAUGGGUCCGAACUUCCAUGUCUAAAACUCUUGGUAGAGGACAAGGAUCUAGAGAUCACACAAUGGGUGGCCAAAUUCUGUGCAACCGCCAUAAAACUUAGGGAACAAGCUGUACUACCAAAAUGAUCAAG